CCUAAUACAUGCAAGCCGAGCGAUGAGGCUCCUUCGGGAGUACAUCAGCGGCGAACGGGUGAGUAACACGUGGGUGACUUGCCCCGAAGAUGGGGAUAACCUCUGGAAACGGGGGCUAAUACCCAAUGUGCUCGGUGAUUCGGUUCAUCGAGUAAAGCUCCGGCGCUUCGGGAGAGGCCUGCGGCCCAUCAGCUAGUUGGUAGGGUAACGGCCUACCAAGGCAGAGACGGGUAGGGGGCGUGAGAGCGCGGACCCCCACACUGGCACUGAGAUACGGGCCAGACUCCUACGGGAGGCAGCAGUAAGGGAUAUUGCGCAAUGGACGAAAGUCAGACGCAGCGACGCCGCGUGGGCGAUGAAGGCCUUCGGGUUGUAAAGCCCUUUUAUGGGGGAAGAGAAAAAGGACGGUACCCCAGGAAUAAGUCCCGGCUAACUACGUGCCAGCAGCCGCGGUAAAACGUAGGGGACAAGCGUUAUCCGGAUUCACUGGGCGUAAAGAGCGUUGAGGCGGUUCCGUAAGUUGGGCGUGAAAGCUCCGGGCUUAACUCGGAGAUGUCGUUCAAUACUGCGGGGCUUGAGGACAGCAGAGGAAGGUGGAAUUCCCGGUGUAGUGGUGAAAUGCGUAGAUAUCGGGAGGAACACCCGUGGCGAAGGCGGCCUUCUGGGCUGUUCCUGACGCUGAAGGCGAAAGCUAGGGGAGCGAACGGGAUUAGAUACCCCGGUAGUCCUAGCUGUAAACGAUGGAUGCUGGGUGUGGGGGGUGUAAAUUCCCUCUGUGCCGAAGCAAACGCGUUAAGCAUCCCGCCUGGGGACUACGGCCGCAAGGCUAAAACUCAAACGAAUUGACGGGGGCCCGCACAAGCAGCGGAGCGUGUGGUUUAAUUCGAUGCUACACGAAGAACCUUACCUGGGUUUGACAUGCACGUGGUAGGGAACCGAAAGGGGACCGACCUUCGGGAGCGUGCACAGGUGCUGCAUGGCUGUCGUCAGCUCGUGCCGUGAGGUGUCGGGUUAAGUCCCGUAACGAGCGCAACCAUUGCCCUUAGUUACAAGUGUCUAAGGGGACUGCCCGGGACAACUGGGAGGAAGGUGGGGAUGACGUCAAGUCAGCAU
rnacentral:rRNA from 1 species